UGAUCAUGGCUCAGAUUGAACGCUGGCGGUAUGCUUAACACAUGCAAGUCGAACGGAAACGAUGGAAGCUUGCUUCCAGGCGUCGAGUGGCGGACGGGUGAGUAACGCGUAGGAAUCUGCCAGAUAGUGGGGGAUAGCCCGGAGAAAUCCGGAUUAAUACCGCAUAAUCUCCAUGGAGUAAAGAGGGCCUCUAUUUAUAAGCUUUCGCUAUCUGAUGAGCCUGCGUAAGAUUAGCUAGUUGGUGGGGUAAUGGCCUACCAAGGCGACGAUCUUUAGCUGGUCUGAGAGGAUGACCAGCCACACUGGGACUGA
rnacentral:rRNA from 1 species